UACGUAGGGUGCGAGCGUUGUCCGGAAUUAUUGGGCGUAAAGGGCGCGUAGGCGGCAAUUCAAGUCAUCUGUGAAAUCUCCGGGCUUAACUCGGAACGGUCAGAUGAUACUGCUUUGCUAGAGUGCAGAAGGGGCAAUCGGAAUUCUCGGUGUAGCGGUGAAAUGCGUAGAUAUCGAGAGGAACACCAGAGGUGAAGACGGGUUGCUGGGCUGACACUGACGCUGAGGCGCGAAAGCCAGGGGAGCAAACGGG
rnacentral:rRNA from 1 species